CGUGCGCAGGCGGCUUUGCAAGACAGAGGUGAAAUCCCCGGGCUCAACCUGGGAACUGCCUUUGUGACUGCAAGGCUAGAGUACGGCAGAGGGAGAUGGAAUUCCGCGUGUAGCAGUGAAAUGCGUAGAUAUGCGGAGGAACACCGAUGGCGAAGGCAAUCUCCUGGGCCUGUACUGACGCUCAUGCAACGAAAGCGGUGGGGAGACAAACAGGAUUAGACUACCCCGGU
rnacentral:rRNA from 1 species